ACCUGGUUGGUUCAGUUGGUAGAGCAUGUGACUCUGAAUCUCAGGAUUGUGAGUUCAAGCCCCACACUGGGCG
rfam:Canis lupus familiaris chromosome 14, whole genome shotgun sequence.